rnacentral:rRNA from 1 species
AUUGAACGCUGGCGGCAGGCCUAAUACAUGCAAGUCGAACGGUAACAUAAGAAAAGCUUGCUUUUCUUGAUGACGAGUGGCGGACGGGUGAGUAAUAUUUGGGAAACUACCUGAUAGAGGGGGACAACAGUUGGAAACGACUGCUAAUACCGCAUACAGCCUUAGGGUGAAAGAAGGAAUUCGCUAUCAGAUGUGCCCAAACGGGAUUAGCUAGUAGGUGAGGUAAAGGCUCACCUAGGCGACGAUCUCUAGCUGGUCUGAGAGGAUGAUCAGCCACAUUGGGACUGAGACACGGCCCAGACUCCUACGGGAGGCAGCAGUAGGGAAUAUUGCACAAUGGAGGAAACUCUGAUGCAGCCAUGCCGCGUGUGUGAAGAAGGCCUUCGGGUUGUAAAGCACUUUCGGAGGGGAGGAAUAAAAUGACGUUACCCUCAGAAGAAGCACCGGCUAACUCCGUGCCAGCCGCCGCGGUAA